rnacentral:lncRNA from 1 species
GCUAAACAUAUGCUUUUAAAAGCAAUACACAAUAGUAUAAACUGAUUGCACCAACUCAUGCAUUCAAAUAAUGCUUGAAUUACAUAACCGGUGAAUUGGCAAUGUUAAUGGACUUCCUGUAUUUGAAUUAACCUUGAAUUCAGUAUUAUUUUAAGAACUAGAAAACCUCAAGAGUUUAGAGAUGAGACACGUUUACCAUAACCCGAUCAUACCCGUAGCCCCCCUGGCUGGUUCGGACGAACCCCCCUUUAAAACAAAUAAGCACUGUUAAAGUCAAUGUCAGAAUUGUGACUGGCUACGGGCCUGGAUGCAUAGUUUAAUGAAAGUCCAAGUUGAUUUGAAAAAGUUAUAAAAAAAAUUAAAGUGUACUAUCUCUAUUUUGUCCGAAUUGUAAAUCCUAGCC